AUUAAUAGCUGCAGCUAGUUUUCAUUCCAUGUUCAAAAUAAAAGUAUAAUGUAUGAGAGUGCUGGCAAUAAUAAAUGGUGUUUUUGUUUUAGAGCAAUUAAUUGCAUAAUUGAUUGCAUAAAUGCAUAAAUCAGAGUCGGUAACAAACAAUAACAGAUGCGAGCACAAUAACAAAUCGUCAUAUUAGAAGUACAAUAAGUUUUUUUAUAUUAUAUCCAAUGGGUUAGUUGCAUGGUGCCGUCGUGUGUUCUUUGAGUGUCCAUCACGCUCAUUUGGCGCACCAGACGCUUCAUGGAAGGUCGAUGCACUGGACGACUGCCAAUGCCACUCCCACUGCUUCCCAAAUCCAGAGGAGUUCGCUCAUCGAUGCGAGGCUUUUGACGCAAACGACGAUUGUCUUUUAGCUCCAGUUCCACCUCAGACUCGUUGUUGGAUGAGCCACCCAAGACAUCCAAGUUCUCAUACGAAGUUGGUGGCGAAAGGAUUUCUCUGGGAAUUAAUAACAUCAUUCGAUACUCAAUUAAUCCCAUCAGAUACUUACGGCUGUGGCUUGCAACGACAGCAAUCUUUAAGCUGCCAGUUCUUGCCGAACUCUUCGCCCUCCUCAAUGGUCUGCGGCAGGCGAUGAUGCAACGUCUCCGGCAAACGUGACAAACGGUAUCACAAUCAAUCCCAGGCCACCAAUAUAACUGGAGGCCCCGAUGCCAAUGCCACGCACCUGCGUCGGAUAUAACUCGCCAGCAAAGGGAUAAAUGAUGAGAAACGAGGCCGAGAGAAGAGCCUUGGAG